GAGGUUGUGGCUCAGUGGUAGAGUGCUUGCCUAGCAUGCAUGAGGCCCUGGGUUUGAUCCUCAGCACCACA
rnacentral:tRNA from 1 species